rnacentral:rRNA from 1 species
UCAGGGAGGAAUAAAAUGACGUGUACCUGAAGAAUAAGCAUCGGCUAACUCCGUGCCAGCAGCCGCGGUAAGACGGAGGAUGCAAGUGUUAUCCGGAAUCACUGGGCGUAAAGCGUCUGUAGGUGGUUUAAUAAGUCAACUGUUAAAUCUUGAUGGCUCAACUUCAAAAUCGCAGUCGAAACUAUUAGACUAGAGUAUAGUAGAGGUAAAGGGAAUUUCCAGUGGAGCGGUGAAAUGCGUAGAUAUUGG